rnacentral:rRNA from 1 species
UACGGGGGGGGCAAGCGUUGUUCGGAAUUACUGGGCGUAAAGGGCUCGUAGGCGGCCAACUAAGUCGGAUGUGAAAUCCCCAGGCUCAACUUGGGAACUGCAUCCGAUACUGGAUGGCUUGAAUUCGGGAGAGGGAUGCAGAAUUCCAGGUGUAGCGGUGAAAUGCGUAGAUAUCAGGAAGAACACCCGUGGCUAAGGCGGCUCUCUAGUACGGUACUGACGCUGAGACGCGAAAGCGUGGGGAGCGAACAGG